rnacentral:rRNA from 1 species
CGGACCGGCGCACGGGUGAGUAACGCGUAUGCAACUUACCUAUCAGGAGGGGAUAACCCGGCGAAAGUCGGACUAAUACCGCAUGAAGCAGGGGCCCCGCAUGGGGAUAUUUGCUAAAGAUUCAUCGCUGAUAGAUAGGCAUGCGUUCCAUUAGGCAGUUGGCGGGGUAACGGCCCACCAAACCGACGAUGGAUAGGGGUUCUGAGAGGAAGGUCCCCCACAUUGGAACUGAGACACGGUCCAA